rnacentral:tRNA from 1 species
GUCAGUUUGGCCGAGUGGUUAAGGCGAUAGACUCGAAUCAAUUGUCCUCUCUGAGAACAAGUUUGCAAUCUAUUGGGCUCUGCCCGCAUCGGUUCAAAUCCGAUAGCUGACG